rnacentral:rRNA from 1 species
UAAUACGGAGGGGGCUAGCGUUGUUCGGAAUUACUGGGCGUAAAGCGUACGUAGGCGGAUGCGCAAGUUGGGGGUGAAAUCCCGGGGCUUAACCUCGGAAUUGCCCUCAAAACUGCACGUCUUGAGACCGAGAGAGGUAAGGGGAAUUCCUAGUGUAGAGGUGAAAUUCGUAGAUAUUAGGAAGAACACCAGUGGCGAAGGCGCCUUACUGGCUCGGUACUGACGCUGAGGUACGAAAGCGUGGGGAGCAAACAGGAUUAGAUACCCUGGUAGUCCACGCCGUAAACGAUGGGUGCUAGAUGUUGGGGUCCUUAGGGCUUCAGUGUCGCAGCUAACGCGUUAAGCACCCCGCCUGGGGAGUACGGCCGCAAGGUUAAAACUCAAAUGAAUUGACGG